rnacentral:rRNA from 1 species
CAUUAAAAGUAAUAUGUAUUCUCACGAAUAUACAUUAUAAACCCAUCUGUGUAUCUUACCUGUUGCUUCCGCGAGCCAGUGAUCUCGGUCACCUCCGCGGGAUGGCGAAGGCCAUCCCUCCCGGGGAGCACUCGCGGGAGGUAUACAUCAAACUCUUGCAUUUUUAUGUCAUCUGUCUGAACUGUUUAUAACAAAUGUUAAAACUUUCAACAACGGAUCUCUUGGUUCUCGCAUCGAUGAAGAACGCAGCGAAAUGCGAUAAGUAGUGUGAAUUGCAGAAUUCAGUGAAUCAUCGAAUCUUUGAACGCACAUUGCGCCUCCUGGUAUUCCGGGAGGCAUGCCUGUUCGAGCGUCAUUAAAAACCACUCAAGCUCUUUUGCUUGGUAUUGGGAGAGGAGUGCAAUCGUUGCCCUCCCUUCCGAAAUUCAAUGGCGGAAAGCCCCAUGUGCCCCGGCGUAGUAAGUUUUCUUUCGCUUGGAACGUGAGGUGAUCCUGCCGCAAACCCCCAAUUCUUUCUAGGUUGACCUCGGAUCAGGUAGGGAUACCCGCUGAACUUAAGCAUAUCAUA